GUUCUGGCACAGCCGCUGGCGCUCGUCCUCGUUCAGCACCUGGGUGUAGAAGGCCCGGACCUGCAGCCGGCCGCACACGGACCCGGUUCUUGCACUUGGCCACGACCACCGUGAGGCGCUCUGCCGUCGGCAAGUAGCUGAGAGACAGCAAAAUCUCCCCGACCGCAUCCACGGCCUGCGGGUUCAAACACGCAGAGAGUUUUGUUUAGUGGCCAGCAGAGGGUACGAAACACCACUUCAUGCUGUCUGCAACCUCCACAAUGUGAACAGUCGUGAGGACCUUAUUGACGUCCUGGAGGUAGAGCCAGGCGUUGAACGGUCUGAUGGUCAGGUCCAGGUCCGACAGCUUCAGCUCGGCCA